GACACAGUGCUGGAGAUUCGGUGGAGCAAACGACUGGCACUGUCAUUCUCACAGAGGGUCAACCUAUCACUCUCAACUGUUCCUAUGAAGCAGGGAAUGCUGGCAUAUUUUCCACAUACUGGUACAUUCAGUCUCCUGGUCAGCCUCUGGAGCUCUUUUUGACAGAGUCUGAGAAUCAGCCUCAAGGCUUCCAGACUACUCACAUCUCCCAUGAAAGCAAGAAGAAAGGGACUUUCCAUAUGGAGAAAACAGCCAGCCAACUGAAGGACUCUGCUGUCUACUUCUGUGCCUUCAGAGACACA